AGGCAGGGUUUGCUACGUCGCCCAGACCAUCUCCACCCAGGACCGCCGCCCUCAUCCGUCUCCCCCGUCUUCCUCGCCCUCGUCUACCUCGCGCUCGUCGGAAAAAACAGCUCAGAGACGUGCUCGGCUUGAAGUAUACAAAGAACAGCUCUUGCUAGAAACCAAGCAAAAAACGGGACAGGACUGAAGAAUAUGAUGACUUGAUUUGCAUCGUACCGAAGACAUUGCUGGCCGGAAAUUGAUGAGUCCAUGGAUGAGUCCAUGAUGGACUUGGAGAAUGAGGCAGUGCUACGGAACGACUGCGAGAAGGAAGCCGUGCUGCGGAAUGAAUUCUGCCAAAUUGUAUCAUUAUAGGGGGGUUGUGUAUCAUAAAUUAAAAAUCUUGUGCCAAGGAAGUUAGACCUGCAAAUUGGUCAUACAUGCUACUGUUGCCUAGUAGUUUAUUCCAUUUUUUGCAGCUUAGUUUAUGUUUCAAUUCCAAGUUUAUUUGUUGAUGUAUCUUUGUAACAAUUUUUUUAUAGAGGAAUAAGGAAGCAAAAGGAUAUAGACAUAAGGUUGUGAAGUUUUGGGAUCUACUCAGCCUAGUGUACAAUAAAGACCAAGCAAAUGGAGAGGGUGCUAAAACAACAGCUGAAAGUUCAAAGGAAAUGGCAAAAGAGAAUAAUACCAGAGGCAAGGAUGCUCCAUAUUCUGUAUCUUCCUCGAGUAGUUUAAAAAGACAAAGAUCAGAUGAUUCAUUUAACUCUAUAUGGUGUGAUAAGUUCGACAUGCUUACAUCUGCAUUGAAAGAUGACGGUCCAAAGCUACCCUCUUCCGUCGAAGUUCUCACCGCAUUACAAGAGGUUGAGGGAUUUGAUGAAGACACAGAACUUGAGCUUUAUGACAUCCUCACCUCUAAUGCACGCAAGUUUGAGUCGAUGAUGGCACUCCCAAUGGAAAGGAGGAAGAGGUGGCUUAUGAUGCAGCUAAGGAAGUGAAACAACUUAUAUGUGAACUUAGAUCUCUUUGUUGAAUUGAUUGUGUGAACUUGUCUUUGUGAAACUUUUGUGUGUGAAUUUGAUGGCUAUGUG